GGGUCAGUAGGUUGGUCGUGCCACCGGUACGUACUGGUCUCACUGAUUCCUCCUUCCUGAAGAACCGUGAUGCCAUUAAUUUGGUGUUGCGGGGAAACAGGACUGUUACUUCGAAAAAAUUAGAGUGUUUAAAGCAAGCUAACGCUUGAAUACAUUAGCAUGGAAUAAUGAAAUAGGACGAUCGAUCCUAUUUUGUUGGUUUCUAGGAUUGACGUA
rnacentral:rRNA from 1 species